CCAUAAGUCGCCUGUCGAGCUAUUUCUCAACAAAAGGCAUACCCCUGCACCACGGAACUUCGGGAAAUAUUUCUAGGAAAAUAACGGGCUUUUUGAGCUUUCUCUCGUCCGUCAUUGAUGGCAUUAUGGGACGUCAGAAGGGCGUGGUUGUCAAGGGCGACGACAUCCAGCGAUGUAUUGGAAUAGACACGGAUUAUGUGGCAUUUCUUCGUCAGCCAGUCGAUGGCGACUACGAUUUUAUGAUUAGGCAAGGACGAAAUGCAACAAUUGCCUUCCUGAAGGAGUUUGCGGAUAAACGAGAUAAGGGGACUUUACUCUGGACUGACUAACUAACAGUUAAAUAUGCCACAUGCCGCAGUUAAUUUGACAUUCUUUCUUUUAAUUAUUUUUGUGCUUAUAUCCAAUUAAGGUUCAAGCACGCUGUCCUGAGCACACAUCUCUGGUAUCUGGGCUGUCUGUCCAGGACAGUGGGCUUGUUGUUAGUUGGUUAGUGGUUAGUGAGAAAGAGGGUGUAGUGGUCUUACACCUACCCACUGAGUCGUUAAAAUUCGCUCUGGGUGGGAGCUGCUACCAGAUCGAAUAUAUUACGUCACUUUGUUUCCAGGUUAGCACUGUUAUUUGUUUCUCUUUCAUAUUAUUUAGUUAUAUAUUUAUUUACUUUAAGUAUUGUUGUUAAUUAUUUAAUGCUAGUGUUGGUGUUGUUGUUGUUGUUGUUAAUUAAACUGUGUUUUCCUGCAUUUAUGUUGUUUUUCGUUUUCUUGAGAUAGGCUAUUCUCGUUGGUUACAAAAAAAAAAAACACCCAAAAAAAACAAAAAAACCAACAACACACCAAACAAAAAACAAACAAUAAAAAAACCCGGA